rnacentral:rRNA from 1 species
UGCAAGUCGAACGAAGCACUUUAACCUGAUUCUUCGGAUGAAGGUUUUUGUGACUGAGUGGCGGACGGGUGAGUAACGCGUGGGUAACCUGCCUCAUACAGGGGGAUAACAGUUAGAAAUGACUGCUAAUACCGCAUAAGACCACGGAGUCGCAUGGCUCAGUGGGAAAAACUCCGGUGGUAUGAGAUGGACCCGCGUCUGAUUAGGUAGUUGGUGGGGUAACGGCCUACCAAGCCAACGAUCAGUAGCCGACCUGAGAGGGUGACCGGCCACAUUGGGACUGAGACACGGCCCAAACUCCUACGGGAGGCAGCAGUGGGGAAUAUUGCACAAUGGGGGAAACCCUGAUGCAGCGACGCCGCGUGAGCGAAGAAGUAUUUCGGUAUGUAAAGCUCUAUCAGCAGGGAAGAAAAUGACGGUACCUGACUAAGAAGCACCGGCUAAAUACGUGCCAGCAGCCGCGGUAAUACGUAUGGUGCAAGCGUUAUCCGGAUUUACUGGGUGUAAAGGGAGCGUAGACGGCUGUGUAAGUCUGAAGUGAAAGCCCGGGGCUCAACCCCGGGACUGCUUUGGAAACUAUGCAGCUAGAGUGUCGGAGAGGUAAGUGGAAUUCCCAGUGUAGCGGUGAAAUGCGUAGAUAUUGGGAGG